rnacentral:lncRNA from 1 species
GUAGAGAGAGAGAGAGAGAGAGGGUAGUUAUUACAGAUAAUUAACCAUCUCCCCUCUGGCCAUUAGACUCACCUACUACUGUUUAUACUGCAAGGAAAAAAAAACACAACACGAUAUCAAAGUUAACAAUUCCUGCAUCAUUCUAUUAUGGAUUAUACUGUACAAGUCAACAAAGCAAAAAAAAAAAAAUUCUAUUGUGGUUCAUUUUUAUUCACUAUUUGACAAGAGUAGAAAUAUAUUACCUGUUUGGAUAGUGAUUACGGAUUAACGCGAUGAUCAUUAUUAAUAUGUCAUUUAGUUUUAAAAGAGUUAAGUCGACGGUAAAAACACAAAUUACUAUUGGAACCCAGAUUUUUAUUUUCGAUAUAUAUACAACGAUUCAUCAUUGUAUUAACUUGACAUUAAUUAGGUCAUUUAUUUGUUUUAAUCGUCAAAAAAAUACAAUUAAUAAAGGAUAAUAUUGUCAAUAGUGGAUGGUGUGAUUAGGUAUUUUAUUUUUCAGAUGCAUUAGUGCGUGUACUCUUCACUGUGUUGUGAGGCGCACUGAGGGAUGCCGCACCACAACCUUCACAUGACAUCUGGCAGCGUGAGGGAAAACAUAUCGUACUGCACGAACCAGGGGUGUUGUCGCUGAGGUUAAGUGUACCUGCCCAUUGAGCCACGGCCACCUAGAUAAGAUCCAUCAUGUUGACUCUCCUUGGAGUGGAGGCUGCCCUGGGAAGAAGGUGAGGAACAACAGUGAUGGCAAUUGUCUGAAGAAUGACGCCAUGUGUUAGAAGAGGUUGUUACCUAUCUAGAAUACCUUGAUGAAGCCUGAAAAGGUGGCAAGUAUUAAAGUUAUAGGUACAGUAUGUAAAGUAUGUUGAGUUUGUGUUAGAAAAGAGGAGUUCAGAACCAGUUUUUUGCUGAAGGGUUAGUGCAAGCUUUGGGGACUUGUCUAUCUUCCAUUUUUGUAGUGGGUAGUAUGGAAGUUGGCUGAAACAGGAUGAUAAUGAUUCCUGGAAUCCAGUAUAACCAAUUCAUAUCAUGGGGAAGGCUUACGCAGGGUAAUGUGACAGUAGGAUUCAUUACCUUCUAAUUUAAAUGGAGACUUUAGUUUUUCAAGUUCCCUUUUUAAGACUUUAUUGUAACUUUAUUACAAAUUAGUUCCAGCCAUUAGUAUACUGUAGAGAGGUUUACCUAAGUUUUCAAACUCAGACUUAAUGGUGUAAUGCAUGAGUCAUUAAGUUUGGGCUGGGACAUAACAUGGGGUUUCAGAGUAAGUAAUUUAUUUCUUCACAUUCCUUAGUGAUAAAUGCAUCUUUAUGAAUGUCUUUAAUAGUAAGGCUGCUUAGUCCAGGUUCCAUGUCUAUGACAACAUCCUCAUUAAGCCUACCAGGGUUGAUAUGUUAAUAUAUUUUGGGCAUGCCAGUUACCUCUCUCUCUUUCCAUCACCCCAGUGGCCUCUUAUGAGGGGGUUUGAUGCAACAGUUGCCCUUUGGAGGCAGGAGGUGUGUAAGGUAAUUACUGUCAGCAAGGAUAAAUAAUAUGUUCAAAUUUUCCAUUUCCCUUCUUGGCUCUGUUGCUGACCUUGUUUCUCUCCUUUAACAGGCCAUUAAAAACCAAAUUUGAAACUUUGGGCAGACUCUGUCUCAGUUACUGAUGGAGCCUCACCCUCCUUGCUCCUGAGCUAUGCAUUUGAUGAUCAGUGGUGAGGGAGACUCCCGAACACCCCGGCCACCACUCAUAGGUCAAGAAACCGAGGUCACGGCCCCUGUCAUUUCUGCCGAGCUCGGCCGUGUUGUCUCUGAUUCUAUUGGUCAGAGUCACCUGAUGCAUAUUAGAAACAUCAUUGAAGACGGGUCCUACAGUUGGUGUUUCACAACUUUUUGGACUUCCUUUGGAUGAAGAUAUGUGUCAACACCUCAUGGGCCAGUAGAACAAGAUCCUUAUUGUAUUGUGACUAGUUUGUAGAGUUUGUUGGUUUUAAUUAUGUUCUCACUUUGUUUUGUUUUAUCAGUUAGCAAUUGUUUGUAAUUGAGAGGAAUGACUGAUGAAAAUUUUGAACUCAAACCAGUGAAAGUUUGUAUUCUGUAUAAGGCUGUCUCGAAACUGUUAUGAAGAUGGUGGAUAUUAACAUCAAGGAAUGUGUAGAAUAUUGUCCUUUUCUAAUUCACAAGUAAAUUUGAUGUCAGUUUUGUAUUUUAGAUUCUCAUUUAUCUUGAGGGAAGAAGCUGUCUAUUGUAGAAAAGCUGAAGGGUAAUAUUAGGUCCCUGGUAAAACGGAUUUUGUCGUGAGAAGCUCCGCACACAGUGUACAGUAUUGCCAUUCUAGGCACUUGACAUCAAUUUAAUUAUUACCUUAUAAAGCUGGAACACUGAUUAGAUUCUAAAAGUUAAUCCUAGGAAGUAAUAUAAGCUCAUAACUUAAUUUUCAUAAGCCAAUGUGUACUGUAUAGUGAAUGAGACCAAUAAAUAUAUGUGAAAUUCCUAAUCAAGUCCUCCACACCCACACCCCCCUCCAC